AACUGCUGGAGGACUCAAAGCUGGAAUCACCAAGAGGGGAGCAGCCAGAGAUGUCAGCUGAGCUCUGAAAAUAGACGUGACUUAAUGAGCAAGAGACAGGUUGGGUUUCUCUAAAAAGGCAGAUUCAACCUGAGCUUGCUGUGCACCAAGUUCUAUGCUCGCACUUUUCAUGCAGGCCAUUAUCAAAUCUGCACAACCACCCCCUGAGAUGCAGUUGUGUGACCAGUUCUUGCCAGUGCAAUGUGAGCAGAAGUAACAGGUGCCAGCUCGAAGCCAAGCUACCACAGUCCUGAUCUGCAGAAGAACCCCAAGACCAAGCCAGCCACAUCCCUCUGGGUCUAGAUACAACAGGGAGGGGAGGGGCUGCUGGCUCCCUCUCAGAAAAGUGCCAGGACCCUCAAAAGUGGACUUUUGGGGAUCAGACAGGUAUAAACUCCAGCCCUGAUGCUGUUA